UCCACACCCCACCACACCGCCACACUACGCCACAUCAUGCGAGCCCUGACAGUUACCCUUCUCGCCGCUACCCUGCUGGUGGUGCUGUUGGCGGGUCUGACAGGGGCCUACCCAUCACAGCUCCCCGCCAGCGUGUCCCCUGCCGACUGCCCCACCUACCCAUUCUAUCCCUGCCGUACCCCGCCCAUCCCUGCCCAGCCUGCCAACCCUGCCGGAGUCCAAUGCUAUAACUUCCCCUUCUACGCCUGUUAGGGAAGAGCGUGAUCAGGCAUGGCUUAGGGUAAUGGUGGGGGGGAGGGGGGUGUUUGCGUUAUGUUGGGGUCCCUUCCUACGCAUUUUAAUGAAAACUGAGGCAUGGUUCAGGGCGGAAGGGUUUGUUUGGGUCAGUAUAGGAAGGAAGAGAAUGAGAAAUUUUAACUGGAAGAAAAGAGUUUAGCUGUGGUGGUUGUGAAUGUGAUAAUUAUUAUAAAAUCUUGAAACUA